GCAAUUAGGACGCUAGGCUGCCAAAUGGCUAUUUUAAUUAGCCUUUCUUAGCAAAAGAGAGAGAGAGGUGGGACGAGAGAGCGAGUGAAAGAGAGAGGGAGAAAGAGACUAAUGUUCUUCAUAAGUGCUACAGAUUAGAAGGUCAUUAGGCUUUUGCUUGAAUUAAUGAUUAGGAAUUCCUGCAGGUCAUAGAAACUUAUUACACAAGCCUACUUAACAUUAAUAGAACCAUCCUAUUUGUGUUAAACACAAAGAAAUUAAAACUAAAAACCAAUUACAAAGAGAUGACAUUGUCUUUCGCCCUCCCCCUGGUCACCCAUAACGGAGAAGCGGUGUAAAACUCUUUGGACAGUAGCCAGAGACUUUAGUCGCACGAGGACAAAAUGAUUCCGGUUCGAUCGGUCGCCCAUAUCGUUUCAGUUUUUCCCGGUUUUACUCCAUGGACAUGUUUUUUUUUCUUUCCCCUCAGCUUUCAAUAUCCUGUUUUUCCACUAUUGUCCCGUCAUCCACAGUAAACCGAGGUGUUACUCCGCCGCUCCCCGCUCAUUGUGAAGAAAGAAAGCCAUACCAUUUUGGAAGAGAUGAUGGUUCCUCAAUCAGGGGCAGUUUUGAGAUCUCUAAAAGCAAAAGCCUGUGGCAGUGCUCCCCCUUACUCAAACACACACACAGAUCUGCUUCUGUUUACAGUGUCCCAUGGUAGGGGGUCUUUCCUGAUUCAGCUGCUUUCUGAUACUCCAUAUAGAGAAUGCAGAUAAAUAGACUCAUAUUACCAUACAUUGCAGAUUACUAAUAAAAACAACAAGAAAAAUUACAACAAUAAGAAGCUGAGAAAGAUUAAUAAUUAUUCUAUGCUGUAUGCUGAAUAAGAACAAUAAGAAAAACAUGUUCUGUUCUUUGGCAUCUAAAAACAAAUGUCUGACUGCAUUAAUCUGUCUUGUAUAUUUCAACAUUCAGACUGCUAAAAUUAUUCAGAAAAAUGUAUGUGUAUUACAGUACAGUGGUCUUUUGUAAAUUGAUCUCAGUGUGGCAGACUGCUCAUUUUGAAGGCUUAUUUAAUCAUGUUGUGAAACUGUAAAUCUAUCAGUUGGAUAUUUGUGGGGACUAAUACUGUAAAUAUGUGUGUAUCUGCAUUCAGGAGAAAAACCUGAACAGCAUGUAAUCUGAUAAUACUGAAAACUUACAGGGAAACAGGAAAGGGAAGUGUUAGUUCCAAAGUUACUUGUAAUUUGUGUGUGUGUGUGUGUGUGUGUGUGUAUGUGCUAUAUGUCUCAAAUGUUUUAUAAUAUUCCACAUUUAUCUUCAGCAAAUUAAAUAUGUUUAGAAAGCUGCAAUGUAUGUCUAAACUGUGUAAAAUAAUGUCAGGUAUGAACAGUGCUGUUGUUACAAACUGUGGAUUGCAAUCAUGUCGACAAUUUUGUGAAUUAUUCUAUAAUUGUUUUGUGGUAUU